rnacentral:ncRNA from 2 species
UUCACGGAGAGUUUGAUCCUGGCUCAGGACGAACGCUGGCGGCGUGCUUAACACAUGCAAGUCGAACGAUGAAGCCCUU